AAAUAACAAUACAGGGCCUAACGGUCUUGUAAUUGGAAUGAGUGAAGUAUAAACCCCUUUACGAGUAUCAAUUGGAGGGCAAGUCUGGUGCCAGCAGCCGCGGUAAUUCCAGCUCCAAUAGCGUAUAUUAAAGUUGUUGCAGUUAAAAAGCUCGUAGUUGGAUUUCUGUUGUAUAAUUUUAUAAUAUUACCAAGGUAAUUAUUAUAUUAUCAACAUCCUUCCUAUUAUAUUCUAAAUAUAUAGGAAACUUUACUUUG
rnacentral:rRNA from 1 species